CCUACGGGCGGCUGCAGUGAGGAAUAUUGGUCAAUGGGCGAGAGCCUGAACCAGCCAAGUCGCGUGAGGGAAGACGGGCCUAUGGAUUGUAAACCUCUUUUGCCGGGGAGCAAAAAGCGGUACGUGUACCGCAUCGAGAGUACCCGGAGAAAAAGCAUCGGCAAACUCCGUGCCAGCAGCCGCGGUAAUCCGGGGGAUGCGAGCGUGAUCCGGAUUUAUGGGGUUAAAAGGGUGCGCGGGCGGCGAGUAAAGUCAGCGGUAAACUUUCGGGGCUCAACCCCGACAAGCCGUUGAAACUGGCUGGCUAGAGUGGGCGAGAAGUAUGCGGAAUGCGUGGUGUAGCGGUGAAAUGCAUAGAUAUCACGCAGAACUCCGAUGGCGAAGGCAGCAUACCGGCGCCCAACUGACGCUCAGGCACGAAAGCGUGGGUAUCGAACAGGAUUAGAUACCCGGGUAGUC
rnacentral:rRNA from 1 species